GUCUCUAUAGCAAUAAGGAGCCGCCACCUGUUCCUGAAGAGGGGACUCGGUCACCUGAGGCCUGAGGCGGGCGCGGGGAGGAGUCCGAGGCCCCGCGGGCUCUGCGCCGUCUCGUCGGCCGCCUGCGGGCGAGAAGAUGAGUAAGCUGAGGACCAGAGAGGAAAGGAGCUUGCUUAAGGAGGCACACUUAGAAGGUGGCAGAGCCAGGACUCAAGCUCUGUCUGAACUCAAAUGUCGUGUACUGAACCGUUAUGGUGGGAGAGAAGGACGAGAGGUGCUGGGCCUGUGAGCUAACAUGGGCUCUGCAGUGAUGGUGUCUGCCUGCUGGUCCACCCUAGGAAGUUACCCCAAAGUGAAUGGAUGGAGAGGAGGGCGGCACAGGAUUCUAGUUCAUGGGAGAGGGCAAGAGGGACCUCUGUAGACAGUAAGAGGCUGCAUGGAGAAUCAGUCUGUCCAACUGAUGAAGACAAAGUGGUACUAAGAAACACCCUAUCAUAGAAAGAGCCUAAACUCUGGAAUUAGUUCAGUCUCAAAUUCAAAUUCAGCUCUGCCACUUAAUAGGGUUUUCCAGUUCUCUUUAUUUCUUCAUCUUUAAUGUAGCCUUCUCAUAAUCUUUAAUGUACAUCUUUAAUGUAGCCUUCUCAUGAGAGGCUGUGAACAGUUGAUGAGAUAACUUGUAUAAAGUACCUAAUAAAGUAUUUAGUAAAUAUUA